rnacentral:rRNA from 1 species
GAUGAACGCUAGCGGCAGGCCUAAUACAUGCAAGUCGGACGGGAUUCAGGAGCUUGCUUCUGAUGAGAGUGGCGCACGGGUGCGUAACACGUAUGUAACCUCCCUUUAUCAGGGGGAUAGCCUCUCGAAAGAGAGAUUAAGCCCGCAUAAAAUCACAGCACAGCAUUGUGUAGUGUUCAAAUAUUUAUAGGAUAAAGAUGGGCAUGCGGAACAUUAGCUAGAUGGCGGGGUAACGGCCUACCCUGGCGACGAUGUUUAGGGGAUCUGAGAGGAUGGCCCCCGAGAGGGGGACUGGGCAAAGGACGAGAGUCAUACGGGCGGCAGUAGUAAGGAAGAUUGCACAAGGGGCGGAAGCCUGAACGAGCGAUGCCGGGUGCAGGAAGACGGCCCGACGGGUUGUAAACUGCUUUUAGACGGGAAUAAACCCAGAUACGUGUAUCUGGCUGAAGGUACUGGAAGAAUAAGGAUCGGCUAACUACGUG